AAAUUAAUCUUAUAGCCAUAGUCCUUCUAUAUUGUGAAAUAUAGAGUAGCAUCGGGUGAAUUGCAAGGAAGUCUUCAUAUAAUAAUUUCCCCCAUAGGUUUUAUUAUUUAAGAUAAUUUGCAGCUAAGCUUAAGUCAGUGUCUAUCUAGUUAAUUAACUAGAUUGUGACUUAAGAAAGUUCAACGACUAAUCGGUGAGUUACACUAACAAUAAACCGGACACGAGCGCCCGACAUCUAGAAAUAAAAAGCUAGAUGAUGACAUAGUCUAAACUUGAUAGAAAUAUCAAG
rnacentral:ncRNA from 1 species